rnacentral:rRNA from 1 species
UACGUAGGCAGCGAGCGUUGUUCGGAGUUACUGGGCGUAAAGAGUGCGUAGGCGGCGCUCCAAGUUUGGUGUGAAAUCUCCCGGCUUAACUGGGAGGGUGCGCCGAAAACUGGGGUGCUAGAGUGCGGGAGAGGUAAGCGGAAUUCCUGGUGUAGCGGUGAAAUGCGUAGAUAUCAGGAGGAACACCGGCGGUGUAGACGGCUUACUGGACCGUGACUGACGCUGAGGCACGAAAGCGUGGGUAGCAAACAGG